AUCAACAGGAGAAGCACAUGAGAGAGGUGUUCCACCUUGAUCGUGGGGCCGAUAAGCCUGCGGCCGUUAAGGUUGCGUGCUGGGUG
rnacentral:snRNA from 21 species